rnacentral:hammerhead_ribozyme from 1 species
AUCCAGCUGACUAGUCCCAAAUAAGACGAAAAGCACGUCUUGUAU